rnacentral:rRNA from 1 species
CCAAUAGCGUAUAUUAAAGUUGUUGCAGUUAAAAAGCUCGUAGUUGAAUUUUAGGCCUGGCCGGACGGUCCGUCUCUGGCGAGUACUGUUCUGUCGUCGGGUCUAUCCUUCUGGUGAGCCGGUAUGUUCUUAAUUGGGCGUGUCGGGGAGCCAGGACCAUUACCUUGAAAAAAUUAGAGUGUUUGAAGCAGGCUUUUGCUUGAAUAGAUUAGCAUGGAAUAAUAGAAUAGGACGUUGUGGUUCUAUUUUGUUGGUUCAAGGACCACCGUAAUGAUUAAUAGGGAUAGUUGGGGGCAUUAGUAUUCAAUUGUCAGAGGUGAAAUUCUUGGAUUUAUUGAAGACUAACUAUUGCGAAAGCAUUUGCCAAGGAUGUUUUCAUUAAUCAAGAACGAAAGUUAGGGGAUCGAGGACGAUCAGAUACCGUCGUAGUCUUAACCAUAAACUAUGCCGACUAGGAAUCGGGCGACGUUAUUUUCACGACUCGCUCGGCGCCUUAUG